UACGUAGGGAGCAAGCGUUGUCCGGAAUCAUUGGGCGUAAAGCGCGCGUAGGCGGCCCGAUAAGUCCGUUGUGAAAGUCAAAGGCUCAACCUUUGAAUGCCGAUGGAUACUGUCGGGCUAGAGUCCGGAAGAGGUGAGUGGAAUUCCUAGUGUAGAGGUGAAAUUCGUAGAUAUUAGGAAGAACACCAGUGGCGAAGGCGGCUCACUGGCCCGGUACUGACGCUCAUGUGCGAAAGCGUGGGGAGCAAACAGG
rnacentral:rRNA from 1 species